rnacentral:rRNA from 1 species
UUGAACGCUGGCGGUAUGCUUAACACAUGCAAGUCGAACGGAAACGAUACUAGCUUGCUAGUAGGCGUCGAGUGGCGGACGGGUGAGUAACGCGUAGGAAUCUGCCUGAUAGUGGGGGAUAGCCCGAAGAAAUUCGGAUUAAUACCGCAUAAUCUAUUCGUAGUAAAGUGGGGGACUUUCGAGCCUCACGCUAUCAGAUGAGCCUGCGUAAGAUUAGCUUGUUGGUAGGGUAAAAGCCUACCAAGGCUACGAUCUUUAGCUGGUCUGAGAGGAUGAUCAGCCACAUCGGGACUGAGACACGGCCCGAACUCCUACGGGAGGCAGCAGUGGGGAAUAUUGGACAAUGGGGGCAACCCUGAUCCAGCAAUACCGCGUGUGUGAAGAAGGCCUGAGGGUUGUAAAGCACUUUCAAUUGUGAAGAAAAGUUAGCGGUUAAUAACCGUUAGCCUUGACGUUAACUUUAGAAGAAGCACCGGCUAACUCCGUGCCAGCAGCCGCGGUAAUACGGAGGGUGCAAGCGUUAAUCGGAAUUACUGGGCGUAAAGCGUGCGUAGGCGGUUUAUUAAGUCAGAUGUGAAAGCCCCGGGCUUAACCUGGGAGCUGCAUUUGAAACUGGUCAACUAGAGUAUGGUAGAGGAAAGUGGAAUUUCUGGUGUAGCGGUGAAAUGCGUAGAUAUCAGAAAGGAACAUCAAUGGCGAAAGGCAGCUUUCUGGACCAAUACUGACGCUGAGGUACGAAAGCGUGGGUAGCAAACAGGAUUAGAUACCCUGGUAGUCCACGCCGUAAACGAUGAUAACUAGCCGUUGGGGGGAUUUACCCUUUAGUGGCGAAGCUAACGCGUUAAGUUAUCCGCCUGGGGAGUACGGCCGCAAGGUUAAAACUCAAAGGAAUUGACGGGGACCCGCACAAGCGGUGGAGCAUGUGGUUUAAUUCGAUGCAACGCGAAGAACCUUACCUGGUCUUGACAUCCUGCGAACUUUCUAGAAAUAGAUUGGUGCCUUCGGGAACGCAGUGACAGGUGCUGCAUGGCUGUCGUCAGCUCGUGUCGUGAGAUGUUGGGUUAAGUCCCGUAACGAGCGCAACCCCUAUCCUUAUUUGCCAGCACAUCAUGGUGGGAACUAUAAGGAGACUGCCGGUGAUAAACCGGAGGAAGGCGGGGACGACGUCAAGUCAUCAUGGCCCUUACGACCAGGGCUACACACGUGCUACAAUGGGAAGGACAAAGAGCCGCGAAGCCGCGAGGUGUAGCUAAUCUCAUAAACCUUUUCGUAGUCCGGAUUGGAGUCUGCAACUCGACUCCAUGAAGUCGGAAUCGCUAGUAAUCGUAGAUCAGAAUGCUACGGUGAAUACGUUCCCGGGUCUUGUACUCACCGCC